ACAAAAGCCAGCAUGUUUGACAGCUUCUCCCCUAAACUAAUCAGUGGGAGAUGCAAGAAGAGAGGUACUCACCUGGAAUGCAAAAGACUCUUGUUCAAAUCCACCCACCACCUAAGGAGGAGAAGUGGAAGAGUUUCAGCAGGACAGAUUGAGGGAGUGCCCCCCCCACCAUUAACAACAUUCCAU